GUGAGGUCUGAGUGUGGCCCCUAAGGGCUCAGACAUUGAGAGUUUGGCCCCAUCGUAGCAGCACUGGGAGAUGGUGGGACCUUUAGGAGGGGGAGUCUAGCGGGAAACCCUUUAUAUCUCUGGAGGAGCUGCCCCGGGACGGAUUAAUGUAGCUUCCAUUGGACACUAAGAUUUCUUGACAGUGAGUUGUUAUGAGCCUGGACACUGUCUCUCUCGCCUCCUGUUUGGAUACCGCACCAGACCUUGGACUUUAACCAUGUAAUUCCCAACAUACUAGUCAGGACCCCUCUGCUCGGACAAACCACCUUUCAAGAUCCAACCUGCCUUCAUCAGAAGUUCUGCAGAUUGUGCUGCCACCCAGCCCAGAGACCAUUCCUAACAAACGCUCCUUUUGUCCUUAUUCAGAGAAGCUUCCCUUUCCAUUGAACAUCAGUGAAUGCUGAGACUUAUGGCUAUACAAGGUGCAAUGAAUGAACCGUGGGGCCAUGGAAGCCAGACGAUGGCACUGAUCCCCAGAGGAUGAAGUUGAUGAUCCCCACAAGUUGACACUGGAUCCCCACAAGAUGUCAUUGGAUUCCCACAAAAUGACAUUGGAUCCCCAGAAAAUGCGUUGGGUUACCUGGAGCUGUAGUUAUAGGCAGUUGUAAGCCACCUGCAUGGGUGCUGGGAACCAAACUUGGGUGCUCAUAACCAUCAACCCAUCUCUCCUGACCCUUAUUUUUUUUUUAAGUGUGUGUGUGUGUGUGUGUGUGUGUGUGUGUGUGUGCACCUGUGUGCACAGAAGUGUACAUGCUCAUGGAGCGAUUGACUCUUCCCGAGCUUUACCACUAGGCUAUCUCUCCAGGUCCUAAAGCUAUUAUUUAAAAUAAAAAAUAAUUAUUUUAUGUCUGUGUGGCUUUUUUGAGACAGGGUUUUACUGUGUAGUCCCGGCUGUUUUGGAACUCUCUCUUUAGAAAGUCUGGCCUCAUAUUCAGAGAUCCACCUGCCUCUGCCUCCCAAGUGCUGGAAUUAAAUGCAUGUGCCACCACUGCCUGGCUCUGUCCAUGAAGGUUUCUGCCGCAUGGAUCUGUACCAUAUAAAUGCCUGGUACCCAUGUAGGUCAAAAGAACACACCAGAU